rnacentral:rRNA from 1 species
UGAAGCGGCAAAAGCUCAAAUUUGAAAUCUGGCACUUUCAGUGUCCGAGUUGUAAUUUGAAGAAGGUAUCUUUGGGUCUGGCUCUUGUCUAUGUUUCUUGGAACAGAACGUCACAGAGGGUGAGAAUCCCGUGCGAUGAGAUGUCCCAGACCUAUGUAAAGUUCCUUCGAAGAGUCGAGUUGUUUGGGAAUGCAGCUCUAAGUGGGUGGUAAAUUCCAUCUAAAGCUAAAUAUUGGCGAGAGACCGAUAGCGAACAAGUACAGUGAUGGAAAGAUGAAAAGAACUUUGAAAAGAGAGUGAAAAAGUACGUGAAAUUGUUGAAAGGGAAGGGCUUGAGAUCAGACUUGGUAUUUUGUAUGUUACUCUCUCGGGGGUGGCCUCUACAGUUUACCGGGCCAGCAUCAGUUUGAGCGGUAGGAUAAGUGCAAAGAAAUGUGGCACUGCUUCGGUAGUGUGUUAUAGUCUUUGUCGAUACUGCCAGCUUAGACUGAGGACUGCGGCUUCGGCCUAGGAUGUUGGCAUAAUGAUCUUAAGUCGCCCGUCUUA